rnacentral:tmRNA from 1 species
GGGGGUGUAAUGGUUUCGACGGGGAUGUAGAAGCCGGAUAAGCGAGCCGUGGUUUGCCAGUCCACGUUAAUAAUGGCACGUUUAAAAGAAACGCGAAAUCUGAAAACAAUUACGCAUUAGCAGCUUAAUUCUGCCAGCGUCGUCAGCCUUGGCUCACCUGUAGGCCAGGGGCCUGGCGCCGACAUACAGGAAAACUUCGCGUGAUCUCCCGGUAGCGCGAGGGACUUACGGGAUAGCUUCGCGCAGGGAAUGUCGGCGGACCCUGCCUGAGGCGAAGAAAUAACCACCGACUGCGCUCGGAGAAAUUCUCGUGGAAAUGUUUUCGGACGUGGGUUCGAUUCCCACCACCUUCACCA